rnacentral:rRNA from 1 species
CUGAUGUUGUAGAUGAUGGGAGCGAUGCCGCUCCACUGGGGUAGGGGAUGUCGCCGAGAGGCGGCGGCAGCAUCGAUUCUGGGGUAGUAGGACGGUGGUGCAGGUCGUCCUUGAGGAGGCGGAGUCGUCGAGGUGGCCGGGGUUGGGCGCGUCAAGGAUGCAGGGUAGCAGGGCCGUGGUGGAGGUCGUCCCCUCGACGGUGGAUCUGGCCGGUGCGCCUGGAUCCAUGGAACUCAAUCCUUGUCAGCCGGAGGUGGUGGCGAUCCUGCACCUGAUCUACCGUAGGUUGCGGGUCAUCGCCCGGUGGUUGAUGGCGCCGUGUCGCCCUGGCUGCUGCGAUGAUACAGGGAAGGAUGCGAAGAGAAUUCUUUCUGAGGGCCAAGAG